AAAACAAGCAGACCCACCUCAUCCUUAUCCGUGAGAAGUGACUCAGGCAGGUGAACCGGACUGCACCGCUGUCCGCUGUCGCACCGGGAAAGGACUGUGGGAGAACAGGGGAGGCACAUCCAUUUCUGAGCAGCUGACAGCACCACGUGGAGCCCAAGGCCCUGCGUAAACACAGCAACCCAGGAAGAGGGCUCAAUGCCCUCCACCGGCCACCAAGCUCUUGCACUGUAAUGACUACUGUUGUCCAGGUUGGCAACAUUUUACAUUUCAGCAUCUCACAAAGUUGAUAAAUAAUUAUCUACACAUCACAGUUCUCCAUUAACAGAAGACAACCAUAAAAGGAGGUGGUGACGUGCCCUGUCAUUGAUUACAAAGCAGCUCUGAAGCAAGACAAAGCGUGGGACGCUGGACUUCAAGUUCUCACUGUGAGAAAUAUGCAAACCAGACUGGAACACCUGGGUUGGCUGCUCAGCCCAUUUUCGUCCCCAGGAGGAAAGUCACAGUGUCAGAUCGAGAAAAGCUGAAGACAGAUAUCCAACAGGGUGCCUGUGAAUGCCUGAAGACUCGCGGUCAGAACCCCAGAAGACUCAGACAAAGACCAAUGGCUUCCCAGCUGCUGCGCUCCCUAGUCUGUGGUUUUCCUAUGAUAUAAACAAAAGAUUCUGGAGAGAACAAGCAACUGACCUAAAGUACAAGAUAAACUGAUUUCCUAGAGGACUUCCAUCCUCCUCCCUGCUGAUACUUGAAGCAGUGAAGAACCUCAAGGAGCUACGGGCAAGGGCUGGCAGGAACCACCGGGGGUCCCUCUUGGAGGGUAGAAGAGGCACUUCCCCAAACCUUACCUUGCUCAUGGCAGUGAGGGCAGGGUCGCAGGCAGCAUCGAGAUCUUGAACCAACAACUGGAUGCUGCUAGAGAUGACACUGCAAGUCAAACACAUCACUGUGGUCAUGACUUUAAAAGACUAACUUUCUCAAUUACCAACACGGCCCCUGCCAAAUCUUUUAGGGACUUGUCUCAAAGUUAGAUUCAUCAUUUCUUCAGAAGAACUCGAGCUUGAUUUCAAAAGGGAACGGAUGACAAGGAGGAACCUUUCAGCUCUUCAUUCUUGCUCCGUGUCCUGGCCUCUAUUUGGGUGUGUGCCCGCUGAGUCAGAUCACAAAAUUCCAUGGCUAGUCCCCCUGAUCACUCCAUCCAGAAUCCCUCUUCACUUCUUACUUCAAAAGCACCUAUUUGCCCCAAAUGUUUAAAUCAGAACUUGAAAAAAAAAAAAAAAAGUUGAGAAAAGGAGAGGAAAUAACUUAGGAGGAGAAUCUUGACUUUUCCUUGGUAAGUGCUUGAUGUGCAGGCUGAAGCUUGGCCUGCCCCGGUCUUAUUUACUGACCGCAACAAAUGAACUGCAGACCGUACUGUCAAAAGGACUACUUUGAGAAGGCUUUCCAGUUUGAACCUCUUGGACAGACACCCUCCACCCCACCCCCACCCCCAGCUAAAGUCAAGAUGCUCACAUUUCCUGUUGGAAGACACUGCAGAUAGGGCUGCCCUUUGUGGAUCUGGGGUAGGCGGGGGGGGGGCAGACAGGAGGCCCUGGACUUGACCUUCCUACAAGGGUGGCCAAGGGAGGACUUCUCUUUUUGUUAUUGUCAGUAGUGCAACAGUAAAGGCCCCGUAUGCUAAAAAUGACUGCUCGUGAGGAGGCAGCGUGGGAGGCGCCAACUUCUAAUGCUUUUUCUUAGUGGCUGCUAGAGAAUCAUCCUGAUUCAACAGGAGGCCUGGGGGACCUCUGAAGUUCUGUAGUGACCUAAGGCUCACAGCCUGAGACAUUCUGCUUUGUGAGGGGUAAAGGGCAGGCCUUAAGCAAAUAUGUGCAAGGUACAUACGUGCUGAAUGUAUCCAUUUCUCCGGUCAGAUUGAUUCGUUCAGUCAGACUCACAUCAACUUUUUCUUUGAGUUUUUCUUCUAGCUAUUAACAAUAAGAGAGAAAAACAUGCUUAACGAUUAUCCAAAGGAGUGCUAUAAAUAAGAAUACUUAACAUGUACCGAGUUUGAUGAUUCAGUACAAUUCCAGGCACUUUUCAUGUACUGACUCAUUUAAUCCUCACAACCCGAGGAGGAAGAUUCUAUUAUUAUCUCAUUUUACAGAAGAGAAAGUGGAGGUGUGACCUCCCCAAGACAGUACGAGGUAGGGCCACGAGUCAAACUUCCUCUAGAACCUGUGCCCUUUAGCACUGGGCUGCACUCGUUUCUUAUGACACACUGACAAUUCACUUCAUUAAUUUUAAAAAGACCCUGGUUUUUAGGCUCCUCCCUGCUCCAUGAACUGCAGGCUUGCUCACCAGCACUGGAAGCCUCUGGUGGUAAGUGGCAGUAAAAUCAGUGAAAGUAUUCACUGAGAGCACUGCUAUGGGCCACCCACUAUACGAAGGUGCGGGGGGGGGGGGGGGGAUACGCAGGUAAACAACAAAAAAAGCACAGGCUGCCCUCAUCAGCCUACAGCCAAACACUGGCCAUGCUCCCAACCGCCUCAAAGAAGAAGACAACUGACCGGGAAUUGUAAACAUCUCCAAGCAUCCUGGGAACUGACUCAUCUAGCACUCCCAAAGCUAUUGAGUACACAAACUCUAAUAAUGAGUGUUUUGUCUUAAACUUAAAAAUGCUCUUAGGGGUGUGUACAUUAGUGUAACUUUCCGGAAAGCAAUUUAUUUAAAAAGCAGAGAUUUAAAUACACACACUCUUUAAAACAGCAAUUUCACACCUAGAGAUAUAUUUCAAUGAAUAACGAGAACGAUAUACAGAGAUACGCGAGUAUUCUUUGCAGCGUUCGUUAAUUCAACCAAAAUUUACAGAAAACCUGCUUUGUGCCAGGCUCUGUAACACAGUGAGUUACUCAGUGAACAAAACAGGUGAAUUCCAGACCAAAUGUGAAAAGGAACUUCUAAUCCCACGUCUACGGCUGAAUGGAAAAUUCUUCUGGGUCUUCCUUCUGCUAAUGGGGAGCUCCAGGAGAGGCAUCACCCUUUCCUGCUUCAUAGUUCCUGAACGUCAGCGUCCAAACAAUGGCUGUUUGUUUAGGCAGGCUGAGAAUGCUGUGUGCAUUUCAGGAGACACAUGAAAGCCCAAAGGAUUUUGCUUAGCCCAGUAACACUUCUGAGCAUGGGAUCACUGGCUGUGACUCAUCACCACCAAAGGCCGGGUCCUAGCACUGUUAAGUUUGUUGCUACUUUUCUCCUACGGGAGACAGUGCUACUGACCUACUUUCAAGAAGGCAUGCCCUCUGAGGAACUUAAACCACACUGGGGGAGACCGGUCAUACUUUCUUGCCCAGUCUCCUUUUAACAAGGCUCUUCUGUAAGAUGGCUGCCUGGGCCGUCUUCUGGCUGGACUGCAAAUUUUCCUCUGUGACAAACCUUUACGUGGCUGCCCAAGGUUGUACACGGCUUGUUAGGGCCCACAGUUUCAGCCACUGAGUUAGGAGGCCCAGAUGGGUCAGGAAAAGGAGGUGGUGGGCAGCUCACCUGCUGGGUGGUGGCCAGACAGUACUCUGCUGUGCUCAGGAUGCUGCAGAUGAGGCAGAGCUCCUCUAGAGUGAACUUGGCCACUUCUGAGCCUUCCUUUUCCUUGAGGAGGCUGCUGAUGGUCAGCCCUCCACUGCUGCUUGUGGUUCUGAGGAAAAGGAACAGGAACCGGUCAGGCUGGGACUUCUUAUUUGCUUCCUGAACUGGUAACUGCACAUCUUAAGACAAAGAAAAGGGGGAAGGAAAGGCUGGACAUGGCCCAAACAAACCUACGUACACUGAGUCCUUUUCCUACUGACCUUACCUUGACUAUCAUCUGUUUAAAUUCUCUGACCAUCAGAAGUAGGAAGAGACGAUUCCAACAGCAAGCCAAUAAUCAGUCACAUGAACGAAGAUGACUCUCAUACUCACAGAGAAGGCAGCUGAGUGACUUCUCUGCUUAGCUUAGAAUCUCCUGAUCUGGAAAGUUCGAGAGUUCUGUAGCACAAAAGCUGGUUCUCCAAUUGCCCCUCUCAGUUAGGAAACUUCUGCACAGGAAUGUGUACGCUGUGCUUGUGGAGGGGUACCAAAGUGAAUGUUAAAGCAUGGCUCCUGCCCAAAGCCCGACUAUCACACACCUUCCUACUGAUCUAA